rnacentral:rRNA from 1 species
GGUGGCGAUAGCGACAGGGCCACACCCGUUCCCAUUCCGAACACGGAAGUUAAGCCUGUCAGCGCCGAUGGUACUUGGGUGGAUUCGCCCUGGGAGAGUAGGACGCCGCC